rnacentral:rRNA from 1 species
UUGACCUCAAAUCAGGUAGGACUACCCGCUGAACUUAAGCAUAUCAAUAAGCGGAGGAAAAGAAACUAACAAGGAUUCCCCUAGUAACUGCGAGUGAAGCGGGAAAAGCUCAAAUUUGAAAUCUGGCAGUUCUUUUGACUGUCCGAGUUGUAAUCUAGAGAAGUGUUACCUGUGCUGGACCAUGUACAAGUCUUCUGGAAUGGGGCAUCAUAGAGGGUGAGAAUCCCGUCUUUGACAUGGACUACCAGUGCACUGUGGUGCGCUCUCAAAGAGUCGAGUUGUUUGGGAAUGCAGCUCAAAAUGGGUGGUAAAUGCCAUCUAAAGCUAAAUAUUGGCGAGAGACCGAUAGCGAACAAGUACCGUGAGGGAAAGAUGAAAAGAACUUUGGAAAGAGAGUUAAACAGUACGUGAAAUUGCUGAAAGGGAAACGCUUGAAGUCAGUCACGUUGGCUAGAAAUCAACCUUGCUUUUGCUUGGUGUACUUUCUGGUUUGACGGGUCAGCAUCGAUUUCUUUGACCAUUGGAUAAAGUCUUUGGGAAUGUGGCAUCUUUGGAUGUGUUAUAGCCCAUUGUCGCAUAUGAUGGUUGGGAUCGAGGAACUCAGCACGCCGCAAGGCCGGGUUUAUACCACGUUCGUGCUUAGGAUGCUGGCAUAAUGGCUUUAAUCGACCCGUC